CUUUCUUCAGAAGCCAAACAACCUAUGAGUCUUGCAACUGAUCAAACUGCCCUUCUUUCACUCGAACAUAGAUCUCUUUUACUUGCAACUAAUUGGACCAACUCCACCUCCGUCUGCAGCUGGAUUGGCGUAACUUGCAGCUCGCGCCACCCAAGAGUAGCUGCCUUGAAUCUCUCCAACAUGGCUCUCUCCGCCACCAUUCCACCACAGUUCGGACACCUCUCCUUCCUCGUCUCCCUCGACCUCUCCAACAACCUUUUCUAUGGAGAUUUCCCACACCAACUGUCUCUCCUUCGCCGUUUGAAGUUCAUAUCUUUCCGACUCAACAACUUCACCGGAGACAUCCCUCCCAUGUUGGGUCAGUUACCAAAAUUAGAGUACUUGAAUUUACGCAACAACAGCUUCAUAGGUUCCAUCCCAAAAUCCCUCUCAAACCUCACAAACCUACAAUUUCUUGACUUAACUUACAAUUCUCUAAGUGGAGAAAUUCCAAAAGAGUUUGGGAGACUUCAAAGUCUACAAACUCUGUAUGUUCAAUUCAAUCAUCUGUCGGGUGCUAUACCAUCAGCCAUAUUCAACAUAUCGACCCUUGUAGCUAUAGCAUUGACAGACAAUGAAUUGAGUGGAAGUCUUCCAACAGACAUGUGCCGUAAUCUUCCAUUUCUUGCUGGGAUUUAUCUUGUUGAAAAUAUAAACAAAGUCAGAAAUAGCAGAAAAACAAAGUACAGAAAUAGCAGCAAAUUCAGUCAAAAGUUAACCAAAAUACCCUGAAGAUCGGAUACCUUGUAUGACUUUGUAGCUCUUCAAAACGUACACUUAUACUAUAAAUCAGAGGAUGAUUGUAAUGAAAAAUAUCAAGCAAUACAACAACAAGAAAUACAAUUACAAUCUUUAGCUUCUCUUUCUCUAUGCAUUAUGAUAAUUCCAUGUUUUAACAUGGUAUCAGAGCAGGUUCAACCAUAGGAACUCAGAAACGAAUCAUCAUCGUUCAUAAUAACCAAAAAAAAAAAACCAAUUCCUAGCCAAUUCACCAAAUCAACAGAAUGGAUCGAACUUACCCAAAUCCACUCGACUGGUGUAGAAGAAGGAACCAAUAAGCAACCCAAAACUGAUCGGAAAUCACCGAUUAUUUCAGUUCCUCCCUGGAUUAGAUGGGAGAUACGACAAACUUUGUCGGGACAUUCUCAAGAAAGUUCCCGUUCCCUCAGUCGAGUCGGCGUUCUCAAAAGUGAGAAGGGAGGCCGCCGACUAAAAAACAGGCAGCCGACAACCAAUCACUCCGACAUCGACGUCUCAUCAUCGGGAGGGGUCGAAGCCGGACUCGCCGCCACCCACCGCCGCUGCCUUCGCGGCCAACCAACCGCCGAUGCAGAUUUGCCCAACGCCGCCACCCACCGCCGCUGCCUUCAAGCUGAUGACACCGUCGCCGUUGGUGUCGGCCUCCUGCAUCAUGUCGCUGAGCUCGCGAUAGGUGAGGGGGUAGCCCAUCUUGGCCAUCUGACCGGCGAUUUCGGCGGCGGUGAUGUAGCCGUUGCCGUUGGCGUCCAUGUUGGCGAGGAGAAGGGAAAAACCGAAAAUGGGGAGGGAGCGGCGCACCAUUGUGGAGGAAAUUCGGAACAGAUCGGAGCAACACCGACUGGAUCGGCAGUGGCCGAGAACCGACCGGCGUGGGCCGCAAGAGCGGCGGCCAUGGCUGUCGACCGACUGGCAGCCUCUGGACCGUGGGGCGCGAGGGAGAUAUCGGCGGCUGGAAAUCAGUCGCCGCUGACCGUGGGGGCGGCGGCACCGGCCGUGGACCGAGCAGCUGUGGAUCGUCCGGCAGAGGCUGCAGGACCAAAGAUUGGAGGAGGCCGGAUUCNCAACCUUUGAGCCUUGCAACUGAUCAAACUGCCCUUCUUUCACUCAAACAUACAUCUCUUUUACUUGCAACUAAUUGGACCAACUCCAGCUCCGUCUGCAGCUGGAUUGGCGUCACUUGCAGCUUCCGCCACCACAGAGUAGCUGCCUUGAAUCUCUCCAACAUGGCUCUCUCCGCCACCAUUCCACCACAGCUCGGACGCCUCUCCUUCCUCGUCUCCCUCGACCUCUCCUAACAACCUUUCUAUGGAGAUUUGCCACAAGAACUGUCUCUCCUUCGCCGUUUGAAGUUCAUAUCUUUCCGACUCAACAACUUCACCGGAGACAUCCCUCCCAUGUUGGGUCAGUUACCAAAAUUAGAGUACUUGAAUUUAUGCAACAACAGCUUCAUAGGUUCCAUCCCAAAAUCGCUCUCAAACCUCACAAACCUACAAUUUCUUGACUUAUCUUCAAAUUCUCUAAGCGGAGAAAUUCCAAAAGGGUUGGGAAGACUUCAAAGUCUACAAACUCUGUAUGUUGAAUCUAAUCAUCUCUCCGGUGCUAUACCAUCAGCCAUAUUCAAUAUAUCGACCCUUGUAUCGAUGGCCUUCACAUACAAUGAAUUGAGUGGAAGUCUUCCAACAGACAUGUGCCGUAAUCUUCCAUUUCUUGCUGGGAUUUAUCUUGUUGAAAAUAUAAACAAAGUCAGAAAUAGCAGAAAAAACAAAGUCAGAAAUAGCAGCAAAUUCAGUCAAAAGUUAACCAAAAUCCCUGAAGAUCGGAUACCUUGUAUGUACUUUGUAGCUCUUCAAAACGUACACUUAUACUAUAAAUCAGAGGAUGAUUGUAAUGAAAAAUAUCAAGCAAUACAACAACAAGAAAUACAAUUACAAUCUUUAGCUUCUCUUUCUCUAUGCAUUAUGAUAAUUCCAUGUUUUAACAUGGUAUCAGAGCAGGUUCAACCAUAGGAACUCAGAAACGAAUCAUCAUCGUUCAUAAUCCAACAAAAAAAAAAAAACCAUUCCUAGCCAAUUCACCAAAUCAACAGAAUGGAUCGAACUUACCCAAAUCCACUCGACUGGUGUGAAGAAGGAACCAAUAAGCACCCAAAACUGAUCGGAAAUCACCGAUUAUUUCAGUUCCUCCCUGGAUUAGAUG
rnacentral:lncRNA from 1 species